rnacentral:tmRNA from 1 species
GGGGGUGACUGGCUUCGACGGGGAUCAAGAGGUCAGCGGUGCAUGUCGAGCUCUCGGAGUCUCGUUAAACCUUCGGGAAACAUUUAAUUGCCAACGAACCAUUGGCUCUCGCAGCUUAAUUAACUGCGACGUUUCUCCAUUUUUUGUCUGUGGGAAUGGAAGAAACGCCACUUAGCAGACUGGUCCAAGGCAGGUGCUCAGCGGCUGCGGACGAGAAUUUUCUGGGCUAGCGGGCGUUCUAAGCCGGUCGAUGGGCGUGGGCGAACGUGAAUAUGAAAACAUCGGCUAUGCAUGUAGAGCCGUUGCGCUGAAGUUCUUCGGACAGGGGUUCGAUUCCCCUCACCUCCACCA